rnacentral:rRNA from 1 species
CGAGCGAAUCGAUGGGAGCUUGCUCCCUGAGAUUAGCGGCGGACGGGUGAGUAACACGUGGGCAACCUGCCUAUAAGACUGGGAUAACUUCGGGAAACCGGAGCUAAUACCGGAUACGUUCUUUUCUCGCAUGAGAGAAGAUGGAAAGACGGUUUACGCUGUCACUUAUAGAUGGGCCCGCGGCGCAUUAGCUAGUUGGUGAGGUAAUGGCUCACCAAGGCGACGAUGCGUAGCCGACCUGAGAGGGUGAUCGGCCACACUGGGACUGAGACACGGCCCAGACUCCUACGGGAGGCAGCAGUAGGGAAUCUUCCGCAAUGGACGAAAGUCUGACGGAGCAACGCCGCGUGAACGAAGAAGGCCUUCGGGUCGUAAAGUUCUGUUGUUAGGGAAGAACAAGUACCAGAGUAACUGCUGGUACCUUGACGGUACCUAACCAGAGAGCCACGGCUAACCCCCCUGCCAGCAGCCGCGGUAAUACGUAGGUGGCAAGCGUUGUCCGGAAUUAUUGGGCGUAAAGCGCGCGCAGGUGGUUCCUUAAGUCUGAUGUGAAAGCCCACGGCUCAACCGUGGAGGGUCAUUGGAAACUGGGGAACUUGAGUGCAGAAGAGGAAAGUGGAAUUCCAAGUGUAGCGGUGAAAUGCCUAGAGAUUUGGAGGAACACCAGUGGCGAAGGCGACGUUCGGGUCUGUAAGUGACACUGACGCGCGAAA